GCUAUAUUAUCUCAUGAGAUGAGUGCUCUAAAAAAAAGAGAUACGAGGAAAUAAAAAGGAGCAAGUGCUCGGAACCUCGAAAGAAAAAAAAGUGAGACGAGAGGUAAAAAUGGACAAGUGUCCGACAGUAGAAUUAGGGGUGCAAGAUGCCCACCUGAGAGACAAGAAAAAGAAGAGCAUCUCAUUCUCCUCAUAAAGUUUCAAAAGCAAGGAAGGUAUGUAUCCCCUCAAAAGAGCAAAGUAGAAUUAGACUUCCACCACCAUUGUUUCCACCAAUGUUAUCACCAUUAUCACCAUACACCAUUCAUUCGCCACACAUACACAUCUUGAUUUGGCUUAUUGAUUUGUUUCUUUGGAUCCAUGGUUUGACUAUGCAAUAAAUGUCUUGUAAGUAUGUAUACUUUAUCUCCCACCUAUGAACUCCAGAUAUUAAAGCCUUAUUAGAGUAGGGUGAGAGAAAAGGCAAUGUCACUAUGCCUCAUACCACAAAUACUACAUAUCUUGAGAGAAGGCAUAUACCAUCAAUGCCUUGGUAAGGAUCCAAAAAUACCACAAAAGAGAGACCUGAGAGAAUCAUACAAGGAAUUUCUGAGUUUUAUUUGAAAAUCUGCAAAAACUCUAGAGCUAUAGCUGAUCAAGAAUAAGAGACAUGGCACU
rnacentral:lncRNA from 1 species